UGCCUAUUAUAGGCGUACAGUGUAUAGUGUGUAGAGAUACCGAUUUUGUGCUGCAGGUGUUUUUUUAGCGCUCGUCCAUAGUCAUUUUUGCUGUGUGCAAGACUGCAGAUUGGACAUCAAUCACCCGCGCUGAAAGGAACACCAUCUUUGCUCCAUCUAAGAGAGUAAGUAGCUCAAGGGCAGGUUCAAGACCAGGUUCAAGGCAGAGCGGUGGAAGAAACUCAUCUCAAGCCAUGAAGGGAAACCAAACAAAUAUGGCCCAAAACCAGACCAAGAAACCACGAAAAACCUACGCUGAUCGAGUGGACGAGCGCAACAAAGGAAAGAUAUCUCUACUAGAGCGCCCUCCAUUUAAGCCAUCAUCAAACCCUCCUCACAAUCUAUAUCCCCAACUACACAUACAUCUGGGAGACCCUACUCAACAUGUCUGAAGAUUGUUCCCUUUUUAAGCCUUCGGAUGACUCGACCAGGGAUCGAACCCACGACCUUCGGGGCGGGCUGUUUACUACUCAGCCAUCAUCGGUAAUAUUGUAGUCUACAUUGAAUAAUCAGUCGCCAUGCCUUUGCUCAUAAUUUAAGGAUUUAAGCGCUGUAUAUAUAAUUCCCGAUGAACAGGUAUAUCCUGGCAUUUAAAACCAUUUACUUUUUUUUAACUCACAAAUUAAAAUUUUGUUAUACGCUUUGUUACUAUAGGUGAGGAUCGUUAUGUUUGAUUUUCGGGGGUAACAUUGGGCUUUAAUAUUGAGUUUAAAUUCUUGAAAGAAAUUCAUCAUGGUUUCGUUGUUGACAUUCUGGUGGCACCAUAAAAUUUUCUUCACUGACCUAUUGGUGUGGAUUUGGCUUGGAAGUGCUGACCCUUCUAAAGAAAUUUCAAUUAAUAUUUUUUUGCUUUUCGUUAUGUUAAGGUAUUUUGUCAACGUGACUUUUUUCGCAUUGUCUUUGAUUAACUGGCCAUUAUGAGCAUUUACAAGUAAUUCCGUUUUUAUUUCAACGUCUAUAAUUAGCUAAGAAGAUAUCAAGUUAUUUGAUUUAGUUUAUUACUUUGUCUUUUAGUGUACAUGUUAAUGGUUGGGUCGAUCCUUAUAGUGUGCACCGCAUACUUGGACCAUGUCAGCCUCAUUACAACGCUGCUUCUUUAAUAGUCUUGCCGCAGUGCUGCCAUUUACUCAAUUUCUUCUCCAAAAUCUUCGCGUUUGAUAUGGCACGUAAAUAAUCGACCUUAUAUACUCAUUCUGUUGGUAUAUUUUGAUAGUGAAUUAAGAAUUCGUAAAUGAUUUAAUUGAUACAGAGAUGUUCAUUUCUGUCAUACUUGUAGUCUGUGUUAAUACCUAAAACAAAAUAUUCUGACAAUUUAUUUAAUACUUGUUUAUCUCUAAUCUGAAUUUGAACAUGUUCAAUUCUGCCAUUUAUACGACAAUGUUAAAUGAUGAAAAAUCGAAGGUCCAUAAAGUAAUUUCCAAUUUUAGUUGAUACCCAUUAUUGUUCAUAUUCGUAUACAUUAUAAUAUCGUUAAACCUUUAUGAUAUAGAUCAUUAAUUCUUUACUUCCUGGUUCUGAUUUUAAGCUUAUAACAAUAACUCUGCGUUUGCUUGAUUACUAUUUAGAAAUCAUAAUCAUUCGAUGUCUCAAACUGUAUUGACUCUCUCUAAAUUAUUCAUCUGCUAAAAUCUUGACAUGAAUCAUAUUAGUGUUUUGUAAUGUACUGUUUAUUUAUUUACAUGUAUAUCUAUCUUUAUAUCUAUCUAUCAUAGCUAUCUAUUGAUCCAUCUAUCUAUCUUUCAAUGUAUUUCUACACAGUAAUAAAUAGCACGUUGUUUAAGCCUGUCACUCUAACAACAAGUUGUCAUUGUUUAAAAGUUUAAACAGUAGUUGUUCAAGUGACGGGCAUAAACAACGUGCUUAAAAUUUUAAACAGCGUUUUACAGUGUAUCUAUAUUGAUCUGCAUUAUGAGACAAAAUCCUCCUGAUUGUAUAUGUGUAUCUAUAUUGUGGACAUAUAUUGUUUUCGUUAAUGACAUGAUUUGAUACAAUAAAACCACACAAAUAACACUCA
rnacentral:misc_RNA from 1 species